GAAUAACUUAGUCGGUAAAGUAUGAGACUCUGCAUCUCUGGGUCAUGGGUUUGAGCCCCACAUUAGAUAAACG